rnacentral:rRNA from 1 species
GACGAACGCUGGCGGCGUGCCUAAUACAUGCAAGUCGAGCGGAUGAUGGAGGAGCUUGCUCCUCCUGAUUCAGCGGCGGACGGGUGAGUAACACGUGGGCAACCUGCCCUGUAGAUUGGGAUAACUCCGGGAAACCGGGGCUAAUACCGAAUAACCCACCGGACCUCAUGGUCUGGUGUUGAAAGACGGCAUCUCGCUGUCACUACAGGAUGGGCCCGCGGCGCAUUAGCUAGUUGGUAAGGUAACGGCUCACCAAGGCCACGAUGCGUAGCCGACCUGAGAGGGUGAUCGGCCACACUGGGACUGAGACACGGCCCAGACGCCUACGGGAGGCAGCAGUAGGGAAUCUUCCACAAUGGACGAAAGUCUGAUGGAGCAACGCCGCGUGAGUGAAGAAGGUUCUCGGAUCGUAAAACUCUGUUGUGAGGGAAGAACAAGUACCGGAGUAACUGCCGGUACCUUGACGGUACCUCAUUAGAAAGCCACGGCUAACUACGUGCCAGCCGCCGCCGUAACAC